rnacentral:rRNA from 1 species
GGCAUGCAAGUCGAACGACGAAAGUUCCCGUUCGGGGAGCGAGUAGAGUGGCGAAAGGGUGAGUAAUGCUUGGAUGACCUGCCCUCGAGACGGGGACAACAGUUCGAAAGGACUGCUAAUACCCGAUAGUCCGGUUUAGAUGCGUCUAGAUCGGUAAAUGGUGCUUCCGCUCGAGGGAGGGGUUCAAGUCCUAUCAGCUUGUUGGUGAGGUAACGGCUCACCAAGGCGAUGACGGGUAGCCGGACUGAGAGGUUGGCCGGCCACAUGGGAACUGAGACACUCGUCCUGACUCCUACGGGGGGGCUGCAGUCGAGAAUCUUCUGCAAUGGGCGAAAGCCUGACAGAGCGACGCCGCGUAGAGGAUGAAGGCCCUCGGGUCGUAAACUCCUGUCACAUGUUAUGAAACGCACAGGUCUACCUGUGCGCUGACAAAAGCAUGAGAGGAAGUCACGGCUAACUUCGUG